rnacentral:rRNA from 1 species
GAUGAACGCUGGCGGCGUGCCUAAUACAUGCAAGUCGAACGGAAAGGCCCUGCUUUUGUGGGGUGCUCGAGUGGCGAACGGGUGAGUAACACGUGAGUAACCUGCCCUUGACUUUGGGAUAACUUCAGGAAACUGGGGCUAAUACCGGAUAGGAGCUCCUGCUGCAUGGUGGGGGUUGGAAAGUUUCGGCGGUUGGGGAUGGACUCGCGGCUUAUCAGCUUGUUGGUGGGGUAGUGGCUUACCAAGGCUUUGACGGGUAGCCGGCCUGAGAGGGUGACCGGCCACAUUGGGACUGAGAUACGGCCCAGACUCCUACGGGAGGCAGCAGUGGGGAAUAUUGCACAAUGGGCGGAAGCCUGAUGCAGCAACGCCGCGUGCGGGAUGACGGCCUUCGGGUUGUAAACCGCUUUAGCCUGUGACGAAGCGUGAGUGACGGUAAUGGGUAAAGAAGCACCGGCUAACUACGUG